AGUGAACGCUGGCGGUAGGCCUAACACAUGCAAGUCGAACGGCAGCACAGUAAGAGCUUGCUCUUACGGGUGGCGAGUGGCGGACGGGUGAGGAAUACAUCGGAAUCUACUUUUUCGUGGGGGAUAACGUAGGGAAACUUACGCUAAUACCGCAUACGACCUACGGGUGAAAGCAGGGGAUCUUCGGACCUUGCGCGAUUGAAUGAGCCGAUUUCGGAUUAGCUAGUUGGCGGGGUAAAGGCCCACCAAGGCGACGAUCCGUAGCUGGUCUGAGAGGAUGAUCAGCCACACUGGAACUGAGACACGGUCCAGACUCCUACGGGAGGCAGCAGUGGGGAAUAUUGGACAAUAGGCGCAAGCCUGAUCCAGCCAUACCGCGUGGGUGAAGAAGGCCUUCGGGUUGUAAAGCCCUUUUGUUGGGAAAGAAAAGCAGCAGGUUAAUACCCCGCUGUUCUGACGGUACCCAAAGAAUAAGCACCGGCUAACUUCGUG
rnacentral:rRNA from 1 species